rnacentral:rRNA from 1 species
GAGACCGGCACUAGCGCGGUGGUCGCCCCUGACCCCAUGCCGAACUCAGAAGUUAAACGCCGUAGCGCCGAUGGUAGUGUGGAGUCUCCCCAUGUGAGAGUAGGGAGCUGCCAUGC